CUUCAAGUCACACACGUGCAAUCGUCAAAGAAUUUUUUAAAUUUCUGGUUUUUAUUGGCUCAUUUCGUGUAAUUUAUGGAUUUCAAUAGCUCGUUUAUAUCGAUUGGAUGUAAGUAAACGACUAAAUCAGAUUUUGACGAAUUAAGUAGCAAACUGGAUAGUCUACAUAA